ensembl:lncRNA
AGGACUUGCUCUCCAGGACUCUGCAGGGGAUCAGUGUUUGAUGGCGGCCGGGAGGGAAGCGGCUCUCUUUGUGCUCUCCUCAGAUGGAGGCACUGAUAGCGCUUUGCCCCGGGGCGUUCUGCCGCUGCCGCUCUGAACUUCGGGGCUUUCCUUUAGAGAGACGGAAGGAGCCGUCCCACUGAAGCGGCCGCUGCUUUCAUCUCACCUCUCAGCCCCGGCGCAUCCCACACAGCACCCCUGGUGCCAGUGCUGGGCACGGCGCAGAGGGAAGAGCUGCCCAGUGAACGAGGAGUGAGCGGGGUGAAGGACAUCACUGCCCACUAUGGCAACGGCCGGCACAACAACCGGAGCGCAUCCCCAAUUAAAAGCUGACGGGGAGCUUCCUGUCGGCUAGCCAAGGACCUGGAGGCCAAAAGUUCAGAGACGAGCACAAGCCGCGGCUGCACGGCCGUGAAACGAGGAGCGCAGACCCGCCGAGCCCGGCUGGGCGGCAGGACGGAGCCCGGAGCUCUUCUCUGGCAGCUCCUGACUCUAAAGUUUGGGGUUUCUGCCCUGGGUUUCGGUCCCCUCCGCCUCCUCCCACCCCCCCCGGCACCUCUCUGCUGGUGCGCAGGAACGCCGCACUGCGGGGCUUCUCCCCAUCCCUCCCGGGCAGCACCUCUGCCCGUCAUCUCCUCUACAGCCCUCAUCCGAAAGCGGUCGUUGUGGGGGACGCGGCCCGUUAAAAUCCCAAUGAAACUCCCGUAGAUUCCCCGCCCCAGCUGAGCACUACCAGGAAAACCCUACAGGGAGCAGCGAGGGAGAAUGGGAUCUCUGCACUGCACAGCCUCCCUGCUGGCAUCCACACCGACCCUGCGAGGAGGCAGAGCACUGUACUGAAAAAAAACAACUGCUGCUGGUGUGGUGCCUGGGAGCUGCUGCCGUGUUCCCCAGGCUCAAUGCACAGUGCAUGCUGUGGCCGUGCAGGAACAGAAGAGGCGAAGCUGUGCACUGGCAGCACCGCAGCCCCGCCUGCAGUGACGCACGUGGCAUGCAUGGACUUCUCAGCGGUGGUAGCUUCAGGCUUGUGGGAAAAGGGCACUGUUGCUAUUCUGCAUUGCAUUUGGAAGAAAAGCCAUCACCCAAAGUGGCAUUCAGCUCGGAGGGUUUCCUUUGGCCAGUGCAUAUGGACUUCAUGUUUGGGUGCUUUCUUGCCUUCUGUCUCCCAGCCAGUCUCUCCCUUUCCAGAUUUGCUGCUGGUGGCACACACAGGCCACUGCUCGUGGCUUCAGUGUGCAACGUAGGAACCCUUUUCUGUUCUCCCAGUGCAUGAGAUUGCAAGUUUUCCCCUAUGCUUCUUGCAGCAAAUGUGAAAUUUCCCUUCGGCUCCGGUGGCACUGUGAUGUGUGGACUAAAUUGAUUGGAUUUAAUUCUGUGCAAUGAGCCAGCACUAAGAGCUUUUCACUGCUCAGUCCCAAGAAGCUCCUGGCAAAAGGCAUCCAGCUGCUGGGUGCUGUGCCUCGGAAGGCUCCUGGUUCCAGGAUGGAAAGGGGAACAACAGAACACUGUUGACAGUAAUGGCACAGAGAUGGCUGUGCUCUCCGGUGCAGAGCAGCAGAGAGAUCAGUGGAGCUGGGGGGCACUGAAUCUAAAGCUGAUAAACCAGCCCCAUGGCAGCGAGCUCCAGCCUCCCUUCAGCUCCAGGAAGAGGGUCUGGUCCAAACAGGAAUGUGUAAUUUCAGUGCUGUAAUAAAUCUUAGCUCAAAGAAGGG